AUAGAUGGCUGUCUUCCAGCUGCGUCCUCACAUGACUGAAGGGAAAUUUCAUUCAUCUGUAGAAGCCACAGGGCAGACUGUAGAGAACAUGCUAGCAUGAGAUGUAAACUGAAGGAAAAGUAUCUGAAAUCCCAG